UACAGAGGGGGCAAGCGUUAUUCGGAAUUAUUGGGCGUAAAGGGCGCGUAGGCGGCUUGGCAAGUGGAUGGUGAAGUCCCUCGGCUUAACCGAGGAACUGCCGUCCAAACUGCUUCGCUUGAGACCGGGAGAGGUGAGUGGAAUUCCCAGUGUAGCGGUGAAAUGCGUAGAUAUUGGGAGGAACACCAGUGGCGAAGGCGGCUCACUGGACCGGUACUGACGCUGAUGCGCGAAAGCGUGGGGAGCAAACGGG
rnacentral:rRNA from 1 species